rnacentral:rRNA from 1 species
UUGCAGUUAAAAAGCUCGUAGUUGGAUUUCUGGCAUGAGCGACCGGUCACACACUCAGUGUGUGAACUUGUGUUGUCUCUGGUCAUCCUUGGGGAGAUCCUGUAUGGCAUUACUUUGUCGGGCAGGGGAUACCCAUCGUUUACUGUGAAAAAAUUAGAGUGUUUAGAGCAGGCUUAUGCCGUUGAAUAUAUUAGCAUGGAAUAAUAAGAUAGGACUUCGGAACUAUUUUGUUGGUUUGCGUUACGAAGUAAUGAUUAAUAGGGACAGUUGGGGGUAUUCGUAUUUCGUUGUCAGGGGUGAAAUUCUUGGAUUUCCGAAAGACGAACUACUGCGAAAGCAUUUACCAAGGAUGUUUUCAUUAAUCAAGAACGAAAGUUAGGGGAUCGAAGAUGAUUAGAUACCAUCGUAGUCUUAACCAUAAACUAUGCCGACUCGGGAUUGGUGGUUGUUUUUUGACUCCAUCAGCACCGUAUGAGAAAUCAAAGUCUUUGGGUUCCGGGGGG